rnacentral:lncRNA from 1 species
AUGACCUUGCUUCAUAAUCUUGGUCAAAAAGUGUGGGAGACAUUUUGAUGAUAUAAUUUAGUAAGAUCCUCCCAUUGGAUCGAUUGGAGUAGAACGGUGAUGGUAGAUUGGCGAUGGUAAGACUUGCAAAAAAAAUCUUUAAUCGAAAUUGGCUUCGACGGAGAUCCUCCGAUAUUCAAAUCAGAAUUUCGGACAACAUAGGGAAGGAAUGAGCGUAUUGGGAGAGAAAAGAUUUCAUACCUUGAGGGUCUCUUGUGGACAUUUAUUUAUAGAUGAGGCUGAAGAGCCUUGAGGAGGAAGGAG